CGGACAGUCGUGAUAACCCGGCACAGAAGCAGAGUCGCAUUUCGGAGCGUCCACUCGUAACACGGCUUCUCGCACACGAAGCCCAUAGUCCAGGGGAGAGAAGGCCAGGGCGGCCCUGGAGAGUUUGUAGGUGCAGGCUGAUCGGCGGUGGAGACCCUGUCGGGCUCAGGAAGGCACUGUUCUUUCAUCAUUUCCUUCCCAGCAUGCACUUGUACAUGCUGUACACUCCACUCUCUUCAUUACCACAACAGGACUACAAAAUCUUUAGAGGAUGAACAGCCAAACAAGGUGACUUACCGCCUGCCAGGAGAGCUUAUUAAAGGAUUUCAUUUCUUGAGCAUCCAGCUCUGUGUCCUGGGGCCUUUGCAAACCAACUCAGCACUACAGAAAAACAAGUCCACCAAUGAAAUGCUUUGAAAGCUGUGAUGGCAAGCUGGGAAAAACAGUGGCUCUUACAGUUAACCAUGGCAUAGGAAGGUCACCUUUUCAUCCUAGUGCUAACACCCAGCUGGAGUGGCAGUAUUACUGGAAUAAAAUCCUGAAAGGAAAAGCAGAAAAUGAGUUAUCAGCCAUUUUGAUCAUGUCACAAUGAAGACACUGAAGUUUGUGUUCUUCAGGAUUUGGGAGAUGGCAACAGGAAAAUAGUACUUUCAGGGGAAGGAGACAGAGUAAAGAAACCAUGAUUCAAGGAAAGACACAACCUCUCUUGGAACCAGAAUCUAAAUGCCUGGAUUAUG
rnacentral:lncRNA from 1 species